ACGGAGGGUGCAAGCGUUAUCCGGAAUCAUUGGGUUUAAAGGGUCCGCAGGCGGAUGUAUAAGUCAGUGGUGAAAGCCUACAGCUUAACUGUAGAACUGCCAUUGAUACUGUACGUCUUGAAUUCGGUCGAAGUGGGCGGAAUGUGUAGUGUAGCGGUGAAAUGCUUAGAUAUUACACAGAACACCGAUAGCGAAGGCAGCUCACUAGGCCUGAAUUGACGCUCAUGGACGAAAGCGUGGGGAGCAAACAGG
rnacentral:rRNA from 1 species